UACGAAGGGGGCUAGCGUUGCUCGGAAUCACUGGGCGUAAAGGGCGCGUAGGCGGUUGUUUAAGUUUGGGGUGAAAUCUCCCGGCUCAACUGGGAGGGUGCGCCGAAUACUGAAUGACUAGAGUGCGGGAGAGGAGAGUGGAAUUCCUGGUGUAGCGGUGAAAUGCGUAGAUAUCAGGAGGAACACCGGUGGUGUAGACGGCUCUCUGGACCGUAACUGACGCUGAGGCACGAAAGCGUGGGUAGCAAACAGG
rnacentral:rRNA from 1 species